rnacentral:rRNA from 1 species
CCUACGGGAGGCAGCAGUGGGGAAUAUUGGGCAAUGGGCGCAAGUCUGACCCAGCAACGCCGCGUGAAGGAAGAAGGCCUUCGGGUUGUAAACUUCUUUUCUCAGGGACGAAGCAAGUGACGGUACCUGAGGAAUAAGCCACGGCUAACUACGUGCCAGCAGCCGCGGUAAUACGGAGGUGGCAAGCGUUAUCCGGAUUUACUGGGUGUAAAGGGUGUGUAGGCGGGACUGGAAGUCAGAUGUGAAAACCAUGGGCUCAACCUAUGGCCUGCAUUUGAAACUGUAGUUCUUGAGUACUGGAGAGGCGGACGGAAUUCCUAGUGUAGCGGUGAAAUGCGUAGAUAUUAGGAGGAACACCAGUGGCGAAGGCGGUCUGCUGGACAGCAACUGACGCUGAGGCGCGAAAGCGUGGGGAGCAAACAGGAUUAGAUACCCCGGUAGUC